AGUAACUGGCCGAAAGUCACGCAGCCAGCGGACUAGAACCCAUCUCUUCCCGACUCCAAAAGCAGCAAAACAUCUUUGUGGCCCAAGAAGCGCCAAGUGUUCAGUUCUCCAAAGGGAGCCAGGACUGAUUUGUUGCAAGGAUAUAGAAAUGUACUUGUCAUCUCCAGUGAAAAGGAGGGAGACCGUUGUUAUAAGAUAAGCAGAGUCUCACUGAAUCCCGGAGGAGAAUUCAGAGGGGCCUCAACUGGUGGAAGGUCAGCAGGUGGUCCCAGUAAGUCUCCCCUCCCUAUAUUCCCAUCCUGGUGCACGGUCCUCCUACACCAACCAGGCCUGACGUGUAAGGAACGAACAGGAUCGUGGAAACAGCGGUCUAUGUGUGUGGCUUCUGAAGUUAGAUCAUAAAAGACACUGUUUUAGGUCACUCGCCCCAGGGGAAGCCAGCUGCUGUCUCCCGAGGACACUCAGGAGUUCCCGGGGAGUGGGGGCUGGAGGGUCAGUUCACACGAGGAACCUAGGCCACAGCUGGUGCUACUCAACAACCUCCAGAGCAGCCCUUGGAAGCGAACCCUCCAGUCCUCCCCGAGCCUCUGUCUCUGCCACUCCCUUCUCUGCUGUCUCACUUUCUGUGGGUAAAUGGCCACAGAAAUGUUUAAACCAGUCUCCCUCUUGUCUCUGCAGGUGAGCCUUCUUCCUGCUUACCUUGUGACAUACAAAUGGCAAAAAGAAAAAUAGUUGCCAGUUGUUGGUCUACUCCAUGAAUAGGCCAGCUUUUACUCUAAAGGGCCAGGUGAUUAAAUAAUCAGACUUUGCAGAUCCUGUUGCUUCUGUUACAACUAUUUAACUCAACUCCACGUCUGUAGCGCAGAAGCAACCAUGGACAAUACCUAAGUGAAUGUGUGUGGCCGUGUGCUGAUAAAUUUUAUUUACAAAGUCAGGGGCAGUGAGCUGGAUUUGACUGGAGAGUUGUGGUCUGCCAACUUCCAGUCUUCAGGACAUCACCGUUCCAGAGCCCAAUACCAUCUGAUGGGCUAAGCCUGAGGCUGGUAUCCCCUGUGUGUGAAUCAGUUUUGGCCGAAUGGCAACAGUGAGACCAGAUGAGUUAAGGGAGGAACAGAUUUUCUAAGAAAGAAAUGGUGCUGAUCAGCAAAUAAUGUGCAUCUUUUAGCACAAUCACAUUCAGUCAGUUCAUUAACUGACCAUCUGCAUCGUGCUGAGCACCUUUGAUUGGAUAUGGGAAUAUGAGUGACACAUGCCCCACAAUAGGAGCUAUUAUGUAUCUCAUGCUUCAAAGUGCCAGGCUGGCCAUUAAGUACUUUAUACAUGUUGUCUCAUAUAACCCUCAAAGCAAAAAUGUGAGGAAGUUAAAGCUCAGAGACAUUAAGUAACUUAUUUAAGGCCAUACAGUAACAGGGGAGCCAAGCUGCCCUUGACUGUAGAAGCCAGAGCUCUUAACCAUUAUGACUUGGGCUGUUCAAUGCUGCCUCUCAAGUUCCUUGAAUUCUUGCCCUCUGAGAAGAGCUCGUAGUUGCCUUGGACUUUUUUUUCUUUUUUGGUAAAUUCUCUAUUUUUUUGCAAAUUAGUUUUGAAUCUUUUGGGCUGUUAAUAAAACCAAUUAUGUAAUCA
ensembl:lncRNA